rnacentral:rRNA from 1 species
GUCUAUGGCCCUGCCACCACAAGCCAGAUGUCUGAUCUUGGAAGCUAAACAGAGUCUGGCCUAGUUAGUAUUUGGAUGGGAAACCUCCUAGGAAGACUAGGUGCUGUAGGCA